GACGAACGCUGGCGGCGUGCUUAACACAUGCAAGUCGAACGGAAAGGCCUGCUUUCCCUUGUGGAUUGCGGGUACUCGAGUGGCGAACGGGUGAGUAACACGUGAGUGAUCUGCCCCCAACUUGGGUAUAAGCCUGGGAAACUGGGUCUAAUUCCCGAUAGGACUGCAGGGUGGUGCCUGUGGUGGAAAACGAUUUUCUAGUGGUUGGGGAUGAGCUCGCGGCCUAUCAGCUUGUUGGUGGGGUAAUGGCCUACCAAGGCGGCGACGGGUAGCCGGCCUGGGAGGGUGGACGGCCAAAUUGGGACUGAGAUACGGCCCAGACUCCCACGGGAGGCAGCAGUGGGGAAUAUUGCACAAGGGGGGGAAGCCUGAUGCAGCGCCGCCGGGUGGGGGAUGACGGCCUUCGGGUUGUAAACUCCUUUCGACCGCGAGGAAGCCACCUGGUUGGAAGGGGGGUGACGGGAGUGGUAGAAGAAGCACCGGCUAACUACGU
rnacentral:rRNA from 1 species